UUGAGGCAAAGGUAACAAAAGCAAAAAUAAACUAUUGGGACUACAUAAAACUAAAAAGGUUUUGCACAGCUAAGGAAAAUGUCAACAAAAAUGCAACCUUCUGAAUGGGAACAAAUAAUGUAACUGUAAAAAAGGUUAAUAUCCAAAAUAUAUAAAAUAAUUCAUACAACUUGACACCAAAAAAAGAAAUCUGAUUAAAAAUGGCAGAGAAUCUAAAGAGACUAUUUUUUCCCAAAGAAGACAUAAACAUGGCCAACAGAUACAUGAAAAGAUGCUCAGCACCACUAAUCAAGGAAAUAGAAAUCAAAACCACAACAGGGGGAUCCCUGGGUGGCGCAGCGGUUUAGCGCCUGCCUUUGGCCCAGGGCGCGAUCCUGGAGACCAGGGAUCGAGUCCCACGUCGGGCUCCCGGUGCAUGGAGCCUGCUUCUUCCUCUGCCUCUCUCUCUCUUGCUCUGUGACUAUCAUAAAUAAAAAUUAAAAAAAAAAAAAACCACAACACGACACCAUCUCAUACAAACUGACUAGUAUCAUGAACACAAGAAAUAACAACUACCAGUGAGGAUGUAGAAAAGGAUAAUUCUCAUGGACUGUUGAUGGGAAUGUAGACUGGUCUAACCACCAUAGAAAACAGUAUAAAUGUUUCUCAAAAAUUUAAAAAUAGCACCACUAUACAAUUCCUUAAUUCCAGUUCUGAAUAUAUCCACAAAGAAAGUGAAAACGCUAACUCAAAAAGAUAUAUGAACUUCUAUGUUUACCGCAUUAUUUAUAAUAUCCUAUAUCUAGAUACAACCUAAGAGCCUAUCAAGAGAUAAACAGAUACAGAAGGUGUGGUAUGUAUAUGCAUACACAUAUCACUCGGCCAUAAAAAAAGAAUAAGAUCUUGUCAUUUGUAACAACAUGAAUGGACCUAAAGGGUAUAAUACUCAAAGAAAUAAGUCUAAAGAGACAAACACCAUAGAAUUUCACGUAUAUGUGGAAUCUAAAAAAGAAAACAAAUGAGUAACAACAACAACAACAACAACAACAACAAAACAGACUCAAAGAACUGGUGAUUGCCCAGGUGGAAGGUGCAGGGGGUUAGGAGAUGAGUGAAAUAGGUUAACGGGAAUGAGAAUACAAACUUCUACUUAGGAAAUAAGUUACAGUAUGAUUGUAUUAACUUUGUAUGAUGACAGGUGGUAACUACACAUCAUGGUGAGCGUUUCUUGAUGUAUAUAAAUAUGUAGGAUCACUAUGUUCUAUACUUGAAACUAAUACUGUCAACUAUAACUCAAAAAUAAAUACAUACAAAUAAUUUAAUGAGUGAUAUAAAAGGCUUUCUGGAUCUAAAAGGUUAUUAUUUUUCAGUCAGCAAUAUUAUAUACAUUGAAAUAAAGCCUGGUGACUAUUCCAAGCUGGUUUAAUGGUCUUAAACCUAACAUUGGGACGCCUGGGUGGUUCAGUGGUUGAGCGUCUGCCUUUGGCUCAGGUUGUGAUCCUGGGAUCCAGGAUCGAGUCCCACAUCAGGCUCCUUGCAGGAAGCCUGCUUCUCCCUCGACCUAUGUCUCUGCCUCCCUAUCUCUCUGUGUCUCUCAUGAAUGAAUAAACAAAAUCUUAAAAAAACAAAACAAACAAACAUAAAACUGAUUUCAAAGUAAGUUUAAAAACAAAGGAACAAAACCCAAAAGGAAGAAUAUUGAACCAUGAUAACUAACAUGAUCAUAUUAUAAUGCGCUAAAGCACAUACUUGGCCUAAGCACAGGAAAUUAAUCUCUUGGAUAUGGAUUAACUGGGCAUCUCAUUCCUUGGCUUAUGUAAGUUAUUCAUUUCCCUAAGUUAAUCUGAAUGUUCCAUUCUUCAUUUGUCCUAUAUUAGAUAUUAGGUAUCCUCCUUGUGAUAAUAAUACAUUGAUGAAGUAAUUCUUUCAGAGAUGAUGACAUUAAUCCAAGACAGACUAAUACACAGAUGGAGUAUUUGACUCUUGGAUGAUGAAUGAAAUCCACAGUGCUGUGGCCACAGGUGAAAACAUUUUAGAAAUACUUAGCGAUGUUUCAAUAUGGAGAAUUCUGCACGCACUAUAGAUCUGUGCCCUUUUCACCAACAUGAACACACACAGUGCAGAGAUUCAGGCUUCAAUUCACAGCUUUGAUGUGGCUGCACUUAGUCUACCUAGAGCUACUGUUGCAUGGGCAGAAUCCUCAGGCUUGGGCGACACAAAAAUCACAUUCUUGAGUUUGAACACCCACAACUUUUGUUCCACUGAUUUUUCUCCUCCCUCUUGCCACCAAGAAGGACUGAGCACUCUUCAAGGUAUUGAUUGGGAUUUGUAAAGGUGUGAUGAUAAAUAAUUAGAAUCAUGAAAAUUACAAGAACCACAAUAACUUUUUACUCAUGGUACUGAAUACUUCAUAUGAACUGUUUCAUGUUGCCAUCAAAACAGUUAUGAUAUCUAUACAUUAUCCCCUUUGGAAAAUGGAUAAAGCAAGGUUCUAAAAUGUUAAAAAGCCUGGCCUAAAUCACACAGCUAGCAAUUAGUGGAGGUUUAGAAGUAACACUAAUCAAGAUUGUGAAUUUCAGAUAUUUAACUAGUAAUAACAGAAGGAGUCUAUAUUUCAUAAUAGACAUAGAGGGACACUUUCCUCAUAACCUC
rnacentral:lncRNA from 1 species